ensembl:snRNA U6 U6 spliceosomal RNA
GUGGUCACAAGCAUUUUAAGCAGCACAUAUACUAAAAUUGGAACGAUACAGAGAAGAUUAGCAUGGCCCUUACCCAAGGAUGAAA